rnacentral:rRNA from 1 species
UGCAGUCGAGCGGACAGAUGGGAGCUUGCUCCCUGAUGUUAGCGGCGGACGGGUGAGUAACACGUGGGUAACCUGCCUGUAAGACUGGGAUAACUCCGGGAAACCGGGGCUAAUACCGGAUGGUUGUCUGAACCGCAUGGUUCAGACAUAAAAGGUGGCUUCGGCUACCACUUACAGAUGGACCCGCGGCGCAUUAGCUAGUUGGUGAGGUAACGGCUCACCAAGGCNACGAUGCGUAGCCGACCUGAGAGGGUGAUCGGCCACACUGGGACUGAGACACGGCCCAGACUCCUACGGGAGGCAGCAGUAGGGAAUCUUCCGCAAUGGACGAAAGUCUGACGGAGCAACGCCGCGUGAGUGAUGAAGGUUUUCGGAUCGUAAAGCUCUGUUGUUAGGGAAGAACAAGUGCCGUUCAAAUAGGGCGGCACCUUGACGGUACCUAACCAGAAAGCCACGGCUAACUACGUGCCAGCAGCCGCGGUAAUACGUAGGUGGCAAGCGUUGUCCGGAAUUAUUGGGCGUAAAGGGCUCGCAGGCGGUUUCUUAAGUCUGAUGUGAAAGCCCCCGGCUCAACCGGGGAGGGUCAUUGGAAACUGGGGAACUUGAGUGCAGAAGAGGAGAGUGGAAUUCCACGUGUAGCGGUGAAAUGCGUAGAGAUGUGGAGGAACACCAGUGGCGAAGGCGACUCUCUGGUCUGUAACUGACGCUGAGGAGCGAAAGCGUGGGGAGCGAACAGGAUUAGAUACCCUGGUAGUCCACGCCGUAAACGAUGAGUGCUAAGUGUUAGGGGGUUUCCGCCCCUUAGUGCUGCAGCUAACGCAUUAAGCACUCCGCCUGGGGAGUACGGUCGCAAGACUGAAACUCAAAGGAAUUGACGGGGGCCCGCACAAGCGGUGGA